rnacentral:rRNA from 1 species
AGCGUACACGGUGGAUGCCCUGGCAGUCAGAGGCGAUGAAGGACGUGCUAAUCUGCGAUAAGCGUCGGUAAGGUGAUAUGAACCGUUAUAACCGGCGAUUUCCGAAUGGGGAAACCCAGUGUGUUUCGACACACUAUCAUUAACUGAAUCCAUAGGUUAAUGAGGCGAACCGGGGGAACUGAAACAUCUAAGUACCCCGAGGAAAAGAAAUCAACCGAGAUUCCCCCAGUAGCGGCGAGCGAACGGGGAGCAGCCCAGAGCCUGAAUCAGUGUGUGUGUUAGUGGAAGCGUCUGGAAAGGCGCGCGAUACAGGGUGACAGCCCCGUACACAAAAAUGCACAUACUGUGAGCUCGAUGAGUAGGGCGGGACACGUGGUAUCCUGUCUGAAUAUGGGGGGACCAUCCUCCAAGGCUAAAUACUCCUGACUGACCGAUAGUGAACCAGUACCGUGAGGGAAAGGCGAAAAGAACCCCGGCGAGGGGAGUGAAAAAGAACCUGAAACCGUGUACGUACAAGCAGUGGGAGCACAGAGCAAUCUGUGUGACUGCGUACCUUUUGUAUAAUGGGUCAGCGACUUAUAUUCUGUAGCAAGGUUAACCGAAUAGGGGAGCCGAAGGGAAACCGAGUCUUAACUGGGCGUUAAGUUGCAGGGUAUAGACCCGAAACCCGGUGAUCUAGCCAUGGGCAGGUUGAAGGUUGGGUAACACUAACUGGAGGACCGAACCGACUAAUGUUGAAAAAUUAGCGGAUGACUUGUGGCUGGGGGUGAAAGGCCAAUCAAACCGGGAGAUAGCUGGUUCUCCCCGAAAGCUAUUUAGGUAGCGCCUCGUGAAUUCAUCUCCGGGGGUAGAGCACUGUUUCGGCAAGGGGGUCAUCCCGACUUACCAACCCGAUGCAAACUGCGAAUACCGGAGAAUGUUAUCACGGGAGACACACGGCGGGUGCUAACGUCCGUCGUGAAGAGGGAAACAACCCAGACCGCCAGCUAAGGUCCCAAAGUCAUGGUUAAGUGGGAAACGAUGUGGGAAGGCCCAGACAGCCAGGAUGUUGGCUUAGAAGCAGCCAUCAUUUAAAGAAAGCGUAAUAGCUCACUGGUCGAGUCGGCCUGCGCGGAAGAUGUAACGGGGCUAAACCAUGCACCGAAGCUGCGGCAGCGACGCUUAUGCGUUGUUGGGUAGGGGAGCGUUCUGUAAGCCUGCGAAGGUGUGCUGUGAGGCAUGCUGGAGGUAUCAGAAGUGCGAAUGCUGACAUAAGUAACGAUAAAGCGGGUGAAAAGCCCGCUCGCCGGAAGACCAAGGGUUCCUGUCCAACGUUAAUCGGGGCAGGGUGAGUCGACCCCUAAGGCGAGGCCGAAAGGCGUAGUCGAUGGGAAACAGGUUAAUAUUCCUGUACUUGGUGUUACUGCGAAGGGGGGACGGAGAAGGCUAUGUUGGCCGGGCGACGGUUGUCCCGGUUUAAGCGUGUAGGCUGGUUUUCCAGGCAAAUCCGGAAAAUCAAGGCUGAGGCGUGAUGACGAGGCACUACGGUGCUGAAGCAACAAAUGCCCUGCUUCCAGGAAAAGCCUCUAAGCAUCAGGUAACAUCAAAUCGUACCCCAAACCGACACAGGUGGUCAGGUAGAGAAUACCAAGGCGCUUGAGAGAACUCGGGUGAAGGAACUAGGCAAAAUGGUGCCGUAACUUCGGGAGAAGGCACGCUGAUAUGUAGGUGAAGUCCCUCGCGGAUGGAGCUGAAAUCAGUCGAAGAUACCAGCUGGCUGCAACUGUUUAUUAAAAACACAGCACUGUGCAAACACGAAAGUGGACGUAUACGGUGUGACGCCUGCCCGGUGCCGGAAGGUUAAUUGAUGGGGUCAGCGCAAGCGAAGCUCUUGAUCGAAGCCCCGGUAAACGGCGGCCGUAACUAUAACGGUCCUAAGGUAGCGAAAUUCCUUGUCGGGUAAGUUCCGACCUGCACGAAUGGCGUAAUGAUGGCCAGGCUGUCUCCACCCGAGACUCAGUGAAAUUGAACUCGCUGUGAAGAUGCAGUGUACCCGCGGCAAGACGGAAAGACCCCGUGAACCUUUACUAUAGCUUGACACUGAACAUUGAGCCUUGAUGUGUAGGAUAGGUGGGAGGCUUUGAAGUGUGGACGCCAGUCUGCAUGGAGCCGACCUUGAAAUACCACCCUUUAAUGUUUGAUGUUCUAACGUUGACCCGUAAUCCGGGUUGCGGACAGUGUCUGGUGGGUAGUUUGACUGGGGCGGUCUCCUCCUAAAGAGUAACGGAGGAGCACGAAGGUUGGCUAAUCCUGGUCGGACAUCAGGAGGUUAGUGCAAUGGCAUAAGCCAGCUUGACUGCGAGCGUGACGGCGCGAGCAGGUGCGAAAGCAGGUCAUAGUGAUCCGGUGGUUCUGAAUGGAAGGGCCAUCGCUCAACGGAUAAAAGGUACUCCGGGGAUAACAGGCUGAUACCGCCCAAGAGUUCAUAUCGACGGCGGUGUUUGGCACCUCGAUGUCGGCUCAUCACAUCCUGGGGCUGAAGUAGGUCCCAAGGGUAUGGCUGUUCGCCAUUUAAAGUGGUACGCGAGCUGGGUUUAGAACGUCGUGAGACAGUUCGGUCCCUAUCUGCCGUGGGCGCUGGAGAACUGAGGGGGGCUGCUCCUAGUACGAGAGGACCGGAGUGGACGCAUCACUGGUGUUCGGGUUGUCAUGCCAAUGGCACUGCCCGGUAGCUAAAUGCGGAAGAGAUAAGUGCUGAAAGCAUCUAAGCACGAAACUUGCCCCGAGAUGAGUUCUCCCUGACUCCUUGA